rnacentral:rRNA from 1 species
GUUGGCGGGGUAACGGCCCACCAAGGCGACGAUCAGUAGGGGUUCUGAGAGGAAGGUCCCCCACAUUGGAACUGAGACACGGUCCAAACUCCUACGGGAGGCAGCAGUGAGGAAUAUUGGUCAAUGGGCGAGAGCCUGAACCAGCCAAGUAGCGUGCAGGAUGACGGCCCUAUGGGUUGUAAACUGCUUUUAUAGGGGAAUAAAGUGAGCCACGUGUGGUUUUUUGCAUGUACCCUAUGAAUAAGGACCGGCUAAUUCCGUGCCAGCAGCCGCGGUAAUACGGAAGGUCCGGGCGUUAUCCGGAUUUAUUGGGUUUAAAGGGAGCGUAGGCCGGAGAUUAAGCGUGUUGUGAAAUGUAGAUGCUCAACAUCUGCACUGCAGCGCGAACUGGUUUCCUUGAGUACGCAUAAAGUGGGCGGAAUUCGUGGUGUAGCGGUGAAAUGCUUAGAUAUCACGAAGAACUCCGAUUGCGAAGGCAGCUCACUGGGGCGCAACUGACGCUGAAGCUCGAAAGCGCGGGUAUCGAACAGGAUUAGAUACCCUGGUAGUCCGCGCGGUAAACGAUGGAUGCCCGCUGUUGGGCCAACUGGUUCAGCGGCCAAGCGAAAGCAUUAAGCAUCCCACCUGGGG